GACGAACGCUGGCGGCGUGCUUAACACAUGCAAGUCGAACGAGGGGCGAACGGGUGAGUAAUACGUGAGUAACCUGCCCUCUUUUUGGGAUAAGCCUUGGAAACGGGGUCUAAUACCGGAUAAAGGGGGAUGGGCUCGCGGCCUAUGAGCUUGUUGGUGGGGUUAUGGCCUAACAAGGCGGUGACGGGUAGCCGGCCUGAGAGGGUGACCGGGCACAUAGGGACGGAGAAAAGGCCCAGACGAGGACGGGAGGGCGCAGUGGGGGAUAUUGGACAAUGGGCGAAACACUCAUGCGGCGACGGCGCGUGGGGGAUGAAGGCUUUCGGGUUGUAAACCUCUUUAGCUAUCGAACCGGUAGGUGGAGAAGAAGCGCCGGCUAACUACGUGCCAGCAGCCGCGGUAAUAC
rnacentral:rRNA from 1 species